UUGCUUCAGGAGCACAUAUACUAAAAUUGGAAUAAUACGGAGAAAAUUAGCAUGGCCCCUGCACGAGGAUGACAUACACAUUCAUGGAGCAUUCCGUAUUUUU
ensembl:snRNA U6 U6 spliceosomal RNA